rnacentral:rRNA from 1 species
GAUGAACGCUGGCGGCGUGCCUAAUACAUGCAAGUCGAACGCAUUGAGAGAAGUGCUUGCACUUUUCAAUUUGAGUGGCAAACGGGUGAGUAACACGUGGGCAACCUACCUGAUAGCGGGGGAUAACGAGUGGAAACAUUCGCUAAUACCGCAUGACAAUAGAGAAGGCAUCUUCUUUAUUUAAAAGGCGCUUUCAAGCGUCACUAUCAGAUGGGCCCGCGGUGCAUUAGUUAGUUGGUGGGGUGAAGGCCUACCAAGACGAUGAUGCAUAGCCGAGUUGAGAGACUGAUCGGCCACAUUGGAACUGAGACACGGCCCAAACUCCUACGGGAGGCUGCAGUAGGGAAUCUUCCACAAUGGACGAAAGUCUGAUGGAGCAACGCCGCGUGUGUGAUGAAGGCUUUCGGGUCGUAAAGCACUGUUGUAUGGGAAGAAAUGCUAGGCUAGGAAAUGAGCUUAGUUUGACGGUACCAUACCAGAAAGGGACGGCUAAAUACGUGCCAGCAGCCGCGGUAA